rnacentral:rRNA from 1 species
CAGGCCUAACACAUGCAAGUCGAACGGGCCUUUUCGGAGGUCAGUGGCAGACGGGUGAGUAACACGUGGGAACGUACCCUUUGGUUCGGGAUAACCCUGGGAAACUAGGGCUAAUACCGGAUACGCCCUUAUGGGGAAAGGUUUUACUGCCGAAGGAUCGGCCCGCGUCUGAUUAGCUUGUUGGUGGGGUAACGGCCUACCAAGGCGACGAUCAGUAGCUGGUCUGAGAGGAUGAUCAGCCACACUGGGACUGAGACACGGCCCAGACUCCUACGGGAGGCAGCAGUGGGGAAUAUUGGACAAUGGGCGCAAGCCUGAUCCAGCCAUGCCGCGUGAGUGAUGAAGGCCUUAGGGUUGUAAAGCUCUUUUGUCCGGGACGAUAAUGACGUGA